GCAAGUCGAACGAGGGCUAUUCCUUCGGGAGUAGACCUAGUGGCGAAAGGGCGAGUAAUGCGUUUCUGACGUACCCAGAGGAUUGGGAUAGCCCGGGGAAACCCAGAGUAAUACCAGAUGAGAUCACCGGCUCGAAAUGCCGGUGAUGAAAGGCUUCGGUCGCCUUUGGAGCGGGAAACGUCCUAUCAGGUUGUUGGUGGGGUAACGGCCUACCAAGCCUUAGACGGGUAGCGGGUGUGAGAGCAUGACC
rnacentral:rRNA from 1 species